CUCUCAGAUGUCCAGAGCCUCUAAGACUGCAUCUCCGCCCUCAGCAUCCAGGGAAACCAGCAACAGAAGAGCAACCUGGGGAAGAGAACUGUGUCACACGCUGGUGCAGGAUGCGGGAGCAUCUGGAUCCAUCACCGCCCAGCUCUUCCCCGAGUGUCUGGGAUUUGGCCUUUCUGGAUUCUGCCUCUGUCUCUCCAGCUGUGCCCUCUCAGGCUCCCGUGGAGCCGAAGCCCCAACCCAGAACUCCAGACUCCCUGUGUCCAAUGGCCUGGUGGAUGCCUCUCCCUGAAUAUCCCACAGGAGAGGGGGACCAAGGGUUGCUACGUACCUGGAGAUGGAGUUCUCUGAUGCGAUGUCCUUUGGGGUCCGGACUGUUGUGAAGGUUCAUCCAGUUCCACGCCCACCCACUGGCCGCUGGCGAACUCCGUGGUACCGCAGAACCGCAGUGUGCCCGUCUGAGGAAACAAGGGAGGAUAUGGCUUGGGUGCACCUUGAGAGGCCAUGAUAAGAUCACCGGCACACAGGCAGCAUGGUGGGAUGGAUGAGGGAGCCCCAGGCUUAAAUCUCAGCUUGGACAUCACCAUUCACUGGUUGUAUAACUUAACUGUGCCUCGAUGUCCUCAUCUGCGAAAUGGGAACAGAAAUCUCACCCACCUUACAGGAUUGUUACAGAGCUGCGCUGUCCAACGCAGUAAACGGCCACUAGCCACAUAUGACAAUUUAAAUUAACUAAAAUUAAAUUAAAAUAUCAUUUCUCCAAUCACACUAGCCACAUUUCAAGUGCUUAAUAUCCACAUGUGGCUCAUGGCUAGCUCACUGGACUACACAGACGCAGAACAUUUCCAAUCUCACGGAAAGGUCUACUGGACAUGAAUGCUACAGAGACAUAAAAGCCCUCAGAACAGGGCCUGGUGCCGAGUAAGGGAUCAGUAAGUGUUGCCUAUUAUUAUCCUAUAACUUUGGUAAAGGGACCUCACGGGGCCUCAGUUUCAUUUGGAAAAUGGGGAUAACAGUCCACCUCAGAGGCUGGUUAUCCGGUGGAAACAUUUUUAAUAUAUGUGAAGUUGCUCAGCUGCAGCGAGUGUGGUUAUUAUCAUUUGUGUGAGGCUUCUUCACUGCCCCGAGCCUCAGUUCCUUGUCUGUAAAAUGGGCUAAAUAAUAGUGCCUACUUUGGAGAGUUGGUGUGGGGAUCAGAACAGUGCCUGGCGCACAGAGCCAAGCCCUAUUCUAAGGGCUUUACACAUUUUGUGCUGUUCAGCAGAAACUAACACAACAUUGUAAAUCAACUAUAUGCCAAUACAAAUUAAUUUUAAAAAAUAAAAUAAAAUAAAAUAAAGCUCAGACAACCCCCCUCAAGUGGGUACUAUCAGCUCCAUUUUACAGAUGAAGAAACUGAUGCCCAGAGAGGUGAAAUCACUGGCCCCACAGCUGGUAAGUGGCAAAGCUGAGAUCUGCCUGAGCAAAUCCCUGAGCCUGAGUUCAUGACCACUGUGCUGGGCUGCUUCUCUACAGGCAGAGAUUGUUAUUACAUGUCUUCAGACUAAGAGUUUCACCUCUUGGGCUUCUUACAGUCUUCUGUAUUGUAAAAUGGAGAGAAUCAACCCAUCCUGCUUUCAAAAUUGUCACACUGAUUUGAUUAAAUCAUGUACAGAAACUUUCCAGAUGGGGCGGAUGCAUGCAAAACUCUUGAUUAUGAAACAAAAUGUGACUUUUAUGGCUUCUCACUGUACAAAGAAACAAAAUUCAAAUUCACUCCAGUGGCCUGCAGGUCUGGUGAGAUCCAGCCCCUUCUAAUGUCUCCACUUCACCCUCCCUGGAUAACUCCCCUCCAGUCACACUACCCCUCCCCUCCUCUGGGACUUUGUACCUGCGGUCUCCUCUGUCUCCAUAUUUUUGCAAGGUGAGCUCCUUCCCCUCUCAGCUCAGAUAUCACCUCCUCAGAGAAGCCUUCUCAGAAGACCUUAGCUAAAACCACCUCGGCCCUCAGCUAGGGCCAAUUUAUUAAAUCCAAGCAUUUAAUGGUUUUCAAAGCCUUUGUUGCUACUGGAAAUUAUCUCAACUAUGGGUAUACUUUAUUGACUGUCUCUUCCUCAAUAGAAAUGGAGUUCUAUGAGAGCAGGGCUGGGGCUAACACAGGCCUUUAUCCCCAAGGAUAGGCUGGGUCCAGCAUGGAGCCUGAGGGACACCAGGUAAAUGAAUCAAACUUGGAAUGAUUGGAUGAAUAAAGAUCUCUCUGUCCUCUGGGA